rnacentral:misc_RNA from 1 species
GCGGAGGGAUCAUUACAAGUUGACCCCGGCCCUCGGGCCGGGAUGUUCACAACCCUUUGUUGUCCGACUCUGUUGCCUCCGGGGCGACCCUGCCUCCGGGCGGGGGCCCCGGGUGGACAUUUCAAACUCUUGCGUAACUUUGCAGUCUGAGUAAAUUUAAUUAAUAAGAUCUGGCCUCGAGAUCCCGGGUA